GAGCUCGCAUUAGCUGGGUCAGCCCCGCGCUUGUGCGAGAGGUUUUUGCCCAAUCCACACCUCACGCGCCGCAUUGACCUGCUUGCCCAAUCCCCGCGGCGGUUGGCUGGUUGACUCAUCGCGCCAGCACGUCCUCGCCUCCUUAGUGCCAUGAGAGGCGCCGCCUCUGCCUCUGGAAGAAGCGGCAGGGAUUGGUGGAGCAUCGAAAGUGGCCGGGGUCAACGGUUGAGGGAGGAUCACCCACCAGAGCAGUAGGAGAAAGACCUUGAGUGAAGCUGCAUCAUCCAACAUAGCGAGAUGAAGUACUCAGAAAAAAUUGCAGCAAGUGCGAUUGAUACUCAGGGAAUUGAUCUGAUUCUGAAUCUUCCCUUCUUCCGAGUUGUCUGAAGUGGAAUGGAUUGUCGUCACCUUUGACUAAGCUGUCGAGCCCAAGAACUGUGGCAGACUGGUGGCCCAGCUGUUCAACUUCUCAACACCGUUUAAUUUUGUCUUUGGCUGUCCUUGCGUCCACUCAGCAGAGAAGUAUCUAUACUGAAUUUCUGCUCUAGAUAACUUAUACUCAUAUAAUUUAUCUCUAAUACCCAGUCCAAAACAUUAGUUUCAAAAUGUAACUCUUUGCGGCCCUAAUUCGACAGUACUUUGAGUGCUUCCUAUAGGAACAGGAGUGAGCAAAGACGAAGUCACCUGAGAUGGGAAAAACAGAAGUAUAUGUUAAUAACCAGAUUUUCAACUUUUGUUGACCUUUUAUUUUAAGUAUAUGUUAAUAACCAGAUUUUCAACUUUUGUUGACCUUUUAUUUUAACUGAAUGAUAUGUUCUAGCAUUUGAGCUACUAAUCAUAAAUAUUCAGUCAGCUAUCCGUAAGACGCCACAUGUUCUUAGCUGCUAUAUUUUAUACCUGAAAUUAUUUUCUAAGUCCACAUAACGAAGGCAAAAGUCAUGAAAAUUAUGAAAGCCUUUUUGAAAAAAUGAAAAUCACAGAAAGGAUCUUGGAAAAAAGAAUUACUUGUGAACAAUCAUUUUGACUGAUGAGUUGAUCUCUGCCUAAUGAAUCCACUGAGAUAUUGGAGAGCUUUUCUGCUUCAUGAGAAAGAGCCACAGAUGGCCGACUAAUACCCAUUAUAGCAGGAUUUUGCAUAUGAUGUGCAUACACAAGGUGCCGCUGGGUGAUACGGCAGUUCUCUGAACAUAGAAUACUAGAUUAAAGCACUCACAGUAUUUCUUCAGGCACUCAGAUCUCUUGCAGUGGCACCCCUUUGUAUGCUUACCCACAGGAGGGCCUUCUGCCAGUUUGCAUGAUAAAAAUAGAAGUGAUUGUUUGAAAAUAUACAUUGUGCUCUACCUCGCCGUUCUGGGCUGCAUGUGGAGGGAUAUUCCAAAUUUUGGGCAUAAAGGCCACAGGGUUUCUUUCAAGGCACUAGGCAAAUCACGAAUAGCUCGCCCCUUGUGCUAUAUUUAUAGCAGGUUGUACCCGGCAUAUAUUGUGAGAUUUGAUCUGGUAGAGACGAAGGACCGAGAUAGUCUGGUCUUACCUACAUAUAUGAGUCGUUAUUGAGGACUGAGCAUCGAGCGUGAUUCCGUUUCCAGUCCAUGUAGAUUAGGCAUUGGACGACUUAGCUAGAAACUUUAUAGGUUUUUAGUUUAUAUAUCAGUUAUGUUGUCAUGAUUUGCUUUUUAUGAACCUUGAUAAUACUAUCCUGGAUUUGUGACAACAGUCUACAGAUUUUUCCCUUUAUUUUUUAUCAUUGUGAAGAACAAAUCUACAAAAUUCAACCAGUUGUGAACUCAUCAAGUACGAGAUCUCUGUCUAAUAUCAUUUCUGUAGGUCGAACCUGAAAGGAUGCCAGCCGAUUGCUUUUCCAAAACUGAAGUUUCAUGUCUUGAAACUUUCCCCAUUUUUCUUUUCAGAGGACAAAGGACAUCCGGAUUAGUUAGCUUCUUUUUACAGUUCCUAUCCAUUGAACUAUAUGCAGUUUUCAGCUAGACCUCAUUUUAUAGUGCCUAUCCAUUGAACUAUAUGCAGUGUCAACAAACAUUGUGAGAUGCGAUGGCUGCAAUGGUGGGGCCAAACAAUCCUACGGCAGCAGUAGUCAUCCCAUGAUAAAUCUCUGUUAAGUGCUCCUUUCUCUUUACCUCUUUACUCCCGUGUAUCUGAUUUUGAUGUCAUAGUCUAUGUUUUUAGCUAGACACCGUGCUUGCAGAUUUCAUAAAGAAGGGUAGAUGAAGAAGCUAUCAGAAGAAUUUGUUGAACGGAACUUGCAUUUUGAUGUUAUGAGUGUAGAAAUAUAUUCUGCAUUUUUAGGAAAUUAGAUAAUAGGACCUGCUAAAGGAGAACUUGGGUCAAGCUAUUUCUUUAUUUGUUUGUGCAACCAACCUUAUUUGGUUCUGAUUGGAAGAUAAUACGACCGGCUGUACAAACUUCUAUUGAGUAAAGCUCAUUGUUAAGUUCAGA